rnacentral:rRNA from 1 species
GUAGCGAAAGAGGAAGGGACGGCUAACUCUGUCAUUUGCGAACAAACCUUUCGGUUUAAUAGACCGAAAGCUGAUAGUAGCGAAAGAGGAAGGGGACGGCUAACUCUGUGCCAGCAGCCGCGGUAAUACAGAGGUCCCAAGCGUUGUUCGGAUUCACUGGGCGUAAAGGGUGCGUAGGUGGUAGGGUAAGUUUGACGUGAAAGCUCCGAGCUUAACUCGGAAAUUGCGUUGAAUACUAUCCCACUAGAGGGUUGUAGGGGGGACUGGAAUUCUUGGUGUAGCAGUGAAAUGCGUAGAUAUCAAGAGGAACACCAGUGGCGAAGGCGAGUCCCUGGACAACUCCUGACACUGAGGCACGAAAGCUAGGGGAGCAAACAGGAUUAGAUACCCUGGUAGUCCUAGCUGUAAACGGUGCACAUUUGCUGUGAGCGGAAUCGACCCUGCUCGUGGCGAAGCUAACGCGAUAAAUGUGCCGCCUGGGAAGUACGGUCGCAAGAUU